rnacentral:rRNA from 1 species
CCUACGGGGGGCAGCAGUGAGGAAUAUUGGUCAAUGGACGAGAGUCUGAACCAGCCAAGUAGCGUGAAGGAUGACUGCCCUAUGGGUUGUAAACUUCUUUUAUAUGGGAAUAAAAUGUUCCACGUGUGGGAUUUUGUAUGUACCAUAUGAAUAAGGAUCGGCUAACUCCGUGCCAGCAGCCGCGGUAAUACGGAGGAUCCGAGCGUUAUCCGGAUUUAUUGGGUUUAAAGGGAGCGUAGGUGGAUUUUUAAGUCAGUUGUGAAAGUUUGCGGCUCAACCGUAAAAUUGCAGUUGAAACUGGCAGUCUUGAGUACAGUAGAGGUGGGCGGAAUUCGUGGUGUAGCGGUGAAAUGCUUAGAUAUCACGAAGAACUCCGAUUGCGAAGGCAGUUCACUGGACUGCAACUGACACUGAGGCUCGAAAGUGUGGGUAUCAAACAGGAUUAGAUACCCUUGUAGUC